rnacentral:rRNA from 1 species
GUACACACCGCCCGUCGCUGCCCGGGACUGAGCCAUUUCGAGAAGAUCAGGGACUGGUGGUCCGUAGCCUCUUCGGGGGCUCGGAUUGCUGGAAACUGAUUUGAUCGCAGUGGCUUGAACCGGGCAAAAGUCGUAACAAGGUAGCCGUAGGUGAACCUGCGGCUGGAUCAUUA